GUUAGGAAUAUUGGACAAUGGGCGCAAGCCUGAUCCAGCCAUGCCGCGUGAGUGAUGAAGGCCUUCGGGUUGUAAAGCUCUUUAGCCGAUGAUUAUAAUGACUGUAGUCGGAAAAUAAGCCCCGGCUAACUUCGUGCCAGCAGCCGCGGUAAUACGAAGGGGGCGAGCAUUAUUCGGAAUCACUGGGCGUAAAGCGUGCGUAGGCGGCUUUGCAAGUUGGGAGUGAAAGCCCAGGGCUCAACCCUGGAAUUGCUCUCAAAACUGCAAGGCUCGAAUUCGGGAGAGGAUAGCGGAAUUGUCAGUGUAGCAGUGAAAUGCGUAGAUAUUGACAGGAACACCAGUGGCGUAAGCGGCUAUCUGGACCGAUAUUGACGCUGAGGCACGAAAGCGUGGGGAUCAAACAGGAUUAGAUACCCCGGUAGUCC
rnacentral:rRNA from 1 species